AGUUAUCAUGCGUCGGGAUCUAAGCAGCAAUUUCAGCAGUGUUAUCCAAAAUACCUCAAGUUGAUUCUCUAAAGGAGGAGCAGUCCCGAGUCAUGGCUAUAGAAGAAGUGGCUGGCUAUGCUUUCUUCUGAAGUCUAUCAAAAAAAAACCUGGUGGGAAUUGUUGUGGAUGAAGUUCACGUAAUCUACAGAUGGGGCAACGGUGUAAAGGGGAAUCCAGCAUUGAGAGAGAGAGAGCUUUUCUCGCCUGGGACAACUCUGCUCAGUUGUGAAAGAAAGGCACACCUGUCAUGGCUUUGACGGCUUCAGCAGAAGUUGUCAACAGAGAGAGGGUCAUCAAGCUGCUACACAUGCACAAUGCAACCCGGGUGACAGUGAGCCCAAAUAGACAUAACAUCAGGCUUGGCCUGAAACAUGUAUCUAGUAAUACCCUCUACCCUCACAUGCAGUCUUGUAUGCAAUCAAAGGAUCACCUAGGGUUGACAAGACAGUGAGAGAAGUGAUUAAGGCAGGCACA